GAUGAACGCUAGCGGCAGGCUUAACACAUGCAAGUCGAGGGGUAUAGGUUUUCGGACCUAGAGACCGGCGCACGGGUGCGUAACGCGUAUGCAAUCUACCUUUCACAGAGGGAUAGCCCAGAGAAAUUUGGAUUAAUACCUCAUAGUAUAGCAGUUUCGCAUGAAACCACUAUUAAAGUAUCAACGGUGAUAGAUGAGCAUGCGUCCCAUCAGCUAGAUGGUAAGGUAACGGCUUACCAUGGCUACGAUGGGUAGGGGUCCUGAGAGGGAGAUCCCCCACACUGGUACUGAGACACGGACCAGACUCCUACGGGAGGCAGCAGUGAGGAAUAUUGGUCAAUGGACGCAAGUCUGAACCAGCCAUGCCGCGUGCAGGAUGACGGUCCUAUGGAUUGUAAACUGCUUUUGUACGAGAAGAAACAACAUUACGUGUAAUGUCUUGACGGUAUCGUAAGAAUAAGGAUCGGCUAACUCCGUGCCAGCCGCCGCAGUAACAC
rnacentral:rRNA from 1 species